GGAUGUGAGGGCGAUCUGGCUGCGACAUCUGUCACCCCAUUGAUCGCCAGGGUUGAUUCGGCUGAUCUGGCUGGCUAGGCGGGGGGCCCCUUCCUCCCUCACCGCUCCAUGUGCGUCCCUCCCGAAGCUGCGCGGUCGAAGAGGACGACCUUCCCCGAUAGAGGAGAGGACCGGUCUUCGGUCAAGGGUAUACGAGUAGCUGCGCUCCCCUGCUAGAACCUCCAAACAAGCUCUCAAGGUCAAUAGAUGCUGAAAAAGCAUUUGACAAAGUACAGCAUCCUUUCUUGAUCAAA
rnacentral:snRNA from 1 species